CUUGUUUUAGUAAGGUAUCAUAUGGUUUAUGUAGAACUUUGUAGUAUAUGUACAUAUGUGAGUUUUCAAAUGACAAAGGUUAAAUCUUGUCUUUUUUAGUCAUACCAUUUGAUACCAAGUGUACAAUAAAAUCUGAAAUGAAAAUUGACAACAGAAGUGUCAUGGUCUUGGUGGAAAAUGCUGUGCUCUUCAUUGACCUCUGUUUAAUAAUGGUUUGGAAAAGGGAAUUCAAUUCUAAUGUUGGUUUUAUGAAUAAUAAUGGAGGUAUAUUUGAACACAUUGUCAUAAGGACUAAUGUAGAAACUAAACUGCAAAACCAUAUUGUGUACCUGCAGUUAAUGCACAAGCUAUGUACAGAUGCUUAAUGAUAGUUUAUGUGUUCAUUUUUUUUUGCUUGUUAAAUAUUUGUUUUAGUUAAUUAAUUCAGGCUGGUGAUAGAAAACUAUCAGGAAUGCUUCAAGCUGGCAAUGGAGGGAAAUGUAAAAGUAGGACACAAGGUUUUAAAUAUCUAGAAUAUGCUCACAGUCAGUCUUCAAGAUACUCACCUUAAAGGUUCCAGUGUGUUUUAGGAGACUUUGUCAGAACAGUAUUUUAUACCUACAUACACUUGAGAUACCAGACCCAGCAGAUAACUACAGAUAUAUUGACACAGAACCUGAAAUUAAUUGCAUAUCCCAACACAACAUAAGACUUUAAACUGUUAAAUAGGCAGUGAGGCAUUUGUGUGUAACCUUCAUUAUUUGAAAUGAAAUUUCUUAUAUUUUUUUUAAGUUUGACUUUGUAUUUAAAAGUCUUUAGCAUUAGAUUUCCCAAAUAUAUAUUAUUUUUAUACAGUUUCAACUGUGAUGUAUAUCCAGUUGUACAUGUUUCCUCUAAGGAUUAAAACACUGUUUAAUUAUAUAGGAAAAUUUAAAUGAUACAUUUAUUCAAAUUUAUGAUAAUAUAUAAAACACACACUACCGUUGAUCAUGUAAACCUGUAUACUAUCUUUUUAUAGAAAUUAUGUGAAUCUUUUGAUAUUUCUGAAUACAUUUAUUUUUUCUUUGACUGGCUCGUGUUUAAACACAGAAUGCUACAUAAAGUAUAUACCAGUGUAUAUCAUAACAUGAUUGGAAUAGAAAAUAGAUAAUAUUUGCAUGAAACUCUGAACACUUAACCACUAUGGCAAUCUGCACCAGUUAAGAUACUUUUUGUUGAAUAAUGUGUUUUGAUGAGAAGAGCUUGUAAAAAAAAACUGUAUUUCUUUUAGUCAUUUGGUGUAUUUGAUGUAUGGCUGCAAUGUAGAUUUUAUCAUGUAUUUUGAAUGGAUCUGAAAUACCGUUUAUUUAACUGUUAUUACGACUAUUGACACAAUAAAGAUGGAUUUAUGAA